rnacentral:tRNA from 1 species
AAAGGGUUAAUCUAAAAAAAGACUAUUAAUUUCGACUUAAUAAAUUAUGGGAUAACACCAUAACCCUUUU